GUUUUGUUAUCACUGGGAUGGAUUUAAAGCACAGUUUUUCUGAUUGAACACCAGGACUGUCUCCUUCUGGUAACCAGUAAUUGGAAUAUCUUCGUUUGGCCACCAAGAGAACCACCAUCUGAUUGAAAAGUUUAUUAUUCUGUUUCUACGCACGACUAGUUUAUAUUUGAGAAUUUGAGUUUCUUGAAAAUCUGUAAUUAAUUGUACAUCCUGUGGAGGGCAGUAAUACGCCUAGAUACGUCUAAACUGCCGGAAAUAGAAGAAGAAGAGGAAGAAGAAUCUUUUUUAUGCAGUUAUCUUCACGGUCACCAUUCUUUCUGUCACUGGAAGCAAUUUCUCAUCAUUUAUUUCAACAAACCUGGCUCUUCAGUUUGAACCCCUCUACUAAAUUCCUCCUGCCUAAAGGAAAGUGCUUCUUGGUUUAGUCUCACUAAGGUUUCUAGUUUCUGGACAGUUGGUAGACCAUGC